UACGGGGGGAGCAAGCGUUGUUCGGAUUUACUGGGCGUAAAGGGCGCGUAGGCGGCGUGUUAAGUCACUUGUGAAAUCUCUAAGCUUAACUUAGAACGGUCAAGUGAUACUGAUGUGCUAGAGUGCAGAAGGGGCAACCGGAAUUCUUGGUGUAGAGGUGAAAUUCGUAGAUAUCGGGAGGAACACCAGUGGCGAAGGCGGCGACCUGGGCCAAUACUGACGCUGAGGUGCGAAAGCGUGGGGAGCAAACAGG
rnacentral:rRNA from 1 species